GUGGAGGCUAUAUACAGGGGUACCGGUACAGAGUCAAUGUGGAGGCUAUAUACAGGGGGUACCGGUACAGAGUCAAUGUGGAGGCUAUAUACAGGGGGUACCGGUACAGAGUCAAUGUGGAGGCUAUAUACAGGGGUACCGGUACAGAGUCAAUGUGGAGGCUAUAUACAGGGGGUACCGGUACAGAGUCAAUGUGGAGGCUAUAUACAGGGGGUACCGGUACAGAGUCAAUGUGGAGGCUAUAUACAGGGUGUUAUGGUACAGAGUCAAUGUGGAGGCUAUAUACAGGGGUACAGGUACAGAGUCAAUGUGGAGGCUAUAUACAGGGUGGUAUGGUACAGAGUCAAUGUGGAGGCUAUAUACAGGGUAUUACGGUACAGAGUCAAUGUGGAGGCUAUAUACAGGGGUACCGGUACAGAGUCAAUGUGUAGGCUAUAUACAGGGGUACCAGUACAGAGUCAAUGUGGAGGCUAUAUACAGGGUAUUACGGUACAGAGUCAGUGUGGAGGCUAUAUACAGGGGUACCGGUACAGAGUCAAUGUGGAGGCUAUAUACAGGAGGUACUGGUACAGAGUCAAUGUGGAGGCUAUAUACAGGGGUACCAGUACAGAGUCAAUGUGGAGGCUAUAUACAGGGGGUACCAGUACAGAGUCAAUGUGGAGGCUAUAUACAGGGUGUUACGGUACAGAGUCAAUGUGGAGGCUAUAUACAGGGG
ensembl:lncRNA